CUAGAAAUGAAUCUAAUUUAGAAGUUAGUUCCUGUUCAGUGGAAAACUAGGGGUAUUCAAUUGUUAUGUGAGAUUUAUUUCUUUAAAUUCAUAUCUAUGCCUCUAUAGUCUAUUAUAGUAAAUACUUCUUCCAUAUUUAUUUAAAGAGUGUUCGGUGGGUGUGUGGGAUGAGAUUCAGUGUGUAAUUCUCAGAGUAGUCUUUAGCUUAUUGUAACCCCAAUUUUAAAGACCCCUUAGUGUUAUUAUUCCUUAGACUAAAACUGCCUGCCCCCCUCCCCACUACCCCCAAUAAAACUUCUAGUUUUCCUGACCCAUUUUCAAAAACCUUGAGAAGAGUUUAUCUGUAUCCUGGGAAGAAAGCCAACUAUAAGAUAAGCUGAAUGAGGGAAAGUACAGUGAGUUUCAAAAGUUUUAUUACGGUCCCCAGCCGAGGAAUCCCAUGAUAGUCAUGGGUUUUUCGCAGCCUCCCCCUCUCCCCCCGCCCCUUCUGUGGAAUUGGCCAAAGAGGAGGAAGAGAGUCUUGCAUCAGGAUUGUUAUAAAAGUCUAUGAUUGUACUUAGAAGAGAGGACAUUUUUGCCCUGAGCAAGUCACUUGUGUGGGCAGAAUCCCUUCUCCCCCAUUCCCCACUCCCUGCUGUCUGCUGUUUUCUUUGAAUAAAGCUGCUUUUCUUUGCCAGCAUCUUAUCAAGUCACCUGUCUGCUUAUUAGAGUGAUUUCUGGGGGUAUGAGUCUCCCCAGAAUUCCACUCCAAACAGAUGGGGGCUCAUCCGGGAUUCUAUAAUGUUAGAAGUGCCUCAGUUUACCCACUAGGAAAAAUCUGAGUCCUUCUUUAUGCUUUUUAAAAAAACCCUGUGAGCAAGAGAGCCUGUAAGGACUGAUAGAUGCAAGAGAAAAGAGACUGGAGCCAACACUUCUAACGUAGAGACCAUUCAUUUUGCACAUGAACACUAACCAGUAUUUAAAAAUGCCCCUUUUCUGGACAAGCAAUCCUUGCUUAUGGAGAGCAAAGGAUGGAAUGCUCCAAUUGGCUUAUGCCGAAAAUCACACCAGAAGUCUCUCAGAGAGAAGAGCAAUGCUGAUUGACCUCCUUGCUAUUCACCAGAGUGAUAGAUAUGGUACACAAAUGUCCUCUAUAUGUGCAUGUAUGUCAAGAGAAGUAUCUAUGCAUGUGGAAGAUAAAUAGGUGUGUCCUGGCCAUGUUCUAACCACAAAAUCCAAGGAAUUGCGAAACUUCUUUUUGUUGUAGUGUUUGGGCAUUACUCUAAAUAGAUGAGGAAUCCUGGAAACUUUAAGGUCUGUGGAUUUUAAUUGAAUUAAUACUGGUCAUAUUCAUACAUUCAUUCAGCUACAUUCAUAGAGGGCAUGAUCCACUGAACUAUAAGUCCUGACUAUAUAUUGAAUGUGAGCAAAGAAGGGGUAAUAUACAAGAUGAACCAGUGGUAUAAAUUCAAGGCUGUAAAUUAGUCCUCAAAGAUAUCCUUGAGAUUUAGUGAGGUGGAAUUCAUGACUGGGAUAUGCCUACGGAAGGGUUUAACUUAAUGCUUUAUCUUGUCACAAUAGAAACAAAUAUCUCUUAAAAGUUUAUCCACUGUGAAUAGAAUGCGUAGCUGUGCCCUUUAACUGUAAAAACAUGGCAUAAAAGUAUUGGGCAACUGCAUUAGAAUACUUUUGUUUCUACUCAAUGUUGAUUUUAUUUACAUUGUUACUUUCAUGUAUAUUUGGGGGGGAUUUGCUUUCUUUACUUCAAACAUGUCCCUUGUUUCACUGAAUUCUUUAUAUUCAUCAUCCAUUAAUUUGAUGA